rnacentral:rRNA from 1 species
GCACUUCGGGAUAAGCCUGGGAAACUGGGUCUAAUACCGAAUAGGACCAUUUAGCGCAUGCUUUAUGGUGGAAAGCUUUUGCGGUGUGGGAUGGGCCCGCGGCCUAUCAGCUUGUUGGUGGGGUGAUGGCCUACCAAGGCGACGACGGGUAGCCGGCCUGAGAGGGUGUCCGGCCACACUGGGACUGAGAUACGGCCCAGACUCCUACGGGAGGCAGCAGUGGGGAAUAUUGCACAAUGGGCGCAAGCCUGAUGCAGCGACGCCGCGUGGGGGAUGACGGCCUUCGGGUUGUAAACCUCUUUCAGCAGGGACGAAGCGCAAGUGACGGUACCUGCAGAAGAAGCACCGGCCAACUACGUGCCAGCAGCCGCGGUAAUACGUAGGGUGCGAGCGUUGUCCGGAAUUACUGGGCGUAAAGAGCUCGUAGGUGGUUUGUCGCGUUGUUCGUGAAAUCUCACGGCUUAACUGUGAGCGUGCGGGCGAUACGGGCAGACUGGAGUACUGCAGGGGAGACUGGAAUUCCUGGUGUAGCGGUGGAAUGCGCAGAUAUCAGGAGGAACACCGGUGGCGAAGGCGGGUCUCUGGGCAGUAACUGACGCUGAGGAGCGAAAGCGUGGGGAGCGAACAGGAUUAGAUACCCUGGUAGUCCACGCCGUAAACGGUGGGUACUA